rnacentral:rRNA from 1 species
GAUGAACGCUGACAGAAUGCUUAACACAUGCAAGUCAUUGGCGAAGCUGCGCUUUCGCAGUCUAGCCAAGGCGGACGGGUGAGUAACGCGUAAGGAACUUGCCCUGCAGACAGGGAUAACAGAUGGAAACGACUGAUAACACCUGGUGUUGUCAGGCUGGCGCAUGCCGGCCUGAUGAAAGGAGACGCUGCAGGAGAGCCUUGCGUCCUAUUAGCUAGUUGGUGGGGUAACGGCCCACCAAGGCGAUGAUAGGUAGCCGGCCUGAGAGGGUGAACGGCCACAAGGGGACUGAGAUACGGCCCUUACUCCUACGGGAGGCAGCAGUGGGGAAUAUUGGACAAUGGGGGCAACCCUGAUCCAGCAAUUCUGUGUGCACGAAGAAGGUUUUCGGAUUGUAAAGUGCUUUCAGCAGGGAAGAAGAAAGUGACGGUACCUGCAGAAGAAGCGACGGCUAAAUACGUGCCAGCAGCCGCGGUAAUACGUAUGUCGCAAGCGUUAUCCGGAAUUAUUGGGCAUAAAGGGCAUCUAGGCGGCCCUGUAAGUCUAGGGUGAAAACCUGCGGCUCAACCGCAGGCCUGCCCCGGAAACUACAGGGCUAGAGUAUCGGAGAGGUGGACGGAACUGCACGAGUAGAGGUGAAAUUCGUAGAUAUGUGCAGGAAUGCCGAUGAUGAAGAUAGUUCACUGGACGGUAACUGACGCUGAAGUGCGAAAGCUAGGGGAGCAAACAGG